GAAGAUGCAAUCUACCCGCUGCUAGACGGAAAGACCCCGUGAACCUUUACUGUAGCUUUGCAUUGGACUUUGAAGUCACUUGUGUAGGAUAGGUGGGAGGCUUGGAAGCAGAGACGCCAGUCUCUGUGGAGUCGUCCUUGAAAUACCACCCUGGUGUCUUUGAGGUUCUAACCCAGACCCGUCAUCCGGGUCGGGGACCGUGCAUGGUAGGCAGUUUGACUGGGGCGGUCUCCUCCCAAAGCGUAACGGAGGAGUUCGAAGGUUACCUAGGUCCGGUCGGAAAUCGGACUGAUAGUGCAAUGGCAAAAGGUAGCUUAACUGCGAGACCGACAAGUCGGGCAGGUGCGAAAGCAGGACAUAGUGAUCCGGUGGUUCUGUAUGGAAGGGCCAUCGCUCAACGGAUAAAAGGUACUCCGGGGAUAACAGGCUGAUUCCGCCCAAGAGUUCAUAUCGACGGCGGAGUUUGGCACCUCGAUGUCGGCUCAUCACAUCCUGGGGCUGUAGUCGGUCCCAAGGGUAUGGCUGUUCGCCAUUUAAAGUGGUACGUGAGCUGGGUUUAAAACGUCGUGAGACAGUUUGGUCUCUAUCUGCAGUGGG
rnacentral:rRNA from 1 species